rnacentral:lncRNA from 1 species
AGAAAUUGUACUGUUUCUCACAUAAUUUAGAACAAAUCAAGGUAAUUUAUUUUCUGGUUAAAAUUUAAAAAAAUAGUCUCAGUUCUCUAGUAGUGAAAGGGGCUUAAAGGAGAGACUUGAAUUUAUUUGUACUUAUUCUGAAAAGCAUUUCAGACAGAAUAAGUGGGGAUUUUUUUUCAGUUUUUUUGUGUUUAUGUAUAUGGUGUAUGUUCUUGAUAAAGAAUACAAUAAAUAGAUUCAUCUUAAAUUUUUUUGGCAGAGAAACUGCUGUAUAAAAACAAAUUAACUGUGAAAUGUUACUCUUUGAGAAUGUUUUCCUGAAACUAUAAUUGUUUUUUUGCACCUCCCUCUCACCCCACUGGAUACUGAAAUAGUAUUGUUUUGUUAUUCUGUUUUACUUCAACAAUACUAUAUAGUGUUGUUCCUAUUUUGAUGAGAGAACAAAAACAAACAUUUUUUAAACCGUUACUUUUGAUGCAUGUCUUUGAUAAACUAAUCUAUACUUUCAAGUUUAUUAUGUCAUUAAAGUAAAAUUUA